rnacentral:lncRNA from 1 species
GUCCCCAUUGCAUUUCCAAGUUGCAAUGUUGGUGGAGGGGAAGAUGGGGGAGACCUUACUGGUCAUCCUUUGAUAAGCUUAAAAUAUUUUAUUUCAAUUUCCAGAUUGUUAAAUAGGAUUUUAAAAAAUCUUCCUGUGGAGAAUCACAACAGGAAAAGAAAAGGGAAAUCGCACCACACGCUACCAUUCACUAAGAGCUUUUCUUUUGAGCAAAAGCUGCCUGUUCAAGUUCCUCGGCAAGUUCCCAAAUCCCAGUACGGUAGAGUCCGGAGCGUCACAGCGAAGAGGACAAGAGGGUCCGACAGUGUCAUGUAUAUUGGACAGAGCAACGGAAUCACCUGCUCACGGCCACACUGCAGACCUGGGACCGGAACGUGGCGUUCUCCGUGCUCAAAUCCCUGCUUUUCCCCAAAUCUCCUUUGGUAAGCAAAACUGUGUGGCCUUGGCUGGGGCAUUUCUGAUUGGUUUCCUCUGAGCGCAUUCAGUCUCUCCAGGCUGGAAGAGCAGUCUUCAGCAUGUCGGGAGGAACAUGGCGUGGUAGUCAGGAGCACAGACUCAGGACCGUGCGAGCCGAACCCACAUCCUGGCUUGACCUCGGCAAAUGCCUUCACUUCUCUGAGUCUCCUACACACCAGGGGGGUGGUCAGAGCUACUCCAGGAAUUUCGGCUCCUUAAAUCAGUCCUGUCCUUAAUGGCAACUACCCCCAAAUUCACUGGUGUGAAGUUAGUCGGGGGGGCUGGUAUCACACCAUUUGCUGGUAUUCUGUGGGGCUCAAGCCAGACUGUGGAAUGCUCUGUCACACAGGGCGAGGGGACCCCGUUCCCUGACUUCCUGGCGCUUGUGCUGCAGGGGUGUGGUCUGCAGGGCUGAGGUCAGCAAAGCUCCCUGAGAAGUAAAUGGUACAGACAGAAAGAUGAACAUAGCAGACUUUCCAAAAGCAAUCAUCAUGUGUGUUUAUCAGAAAAAAUUUCAUUCAAUGUCCCAGUGGAGGGAAGCAGGGAGACGAAUUAACCCAAAAUUUAUAUUUGCCUGGGGAUGAAUCAUAUGAUAUCAGAGGGUGGGUAGCCGAUUUUCCUUCUGGAUUAUUUGCUCCACAGGCGAGGAUUAAGAUUUAUAGCUAGUCCCUGAGUGCGCAUCAGCUCACAGGCUGGGAAGCCAGCCCAGAGCCCUGAAGAUUUCGUGGUUUCAGGGUGUAGUGCAUGCUCAAACAGAAACUGGAAAGUUGACUUUUGAUUCUA